GUUAAUUUCUUCAUCUUCUUCUUUGACAACUUCCCCCAUUUUCUCUUCAUCCAAACACGCCCUUACUCCUAAACCCCAAAGCCUCUCUUUCAACUCCAAUGCUCGUUUAGUAUUGUUCACCUGUGCAGCGCAGCAGAUGAAUUCACCACCCUCUACGGCGGCGACGACGGCGGAAAAGGAAGUGAAGCUAUGGGGUGGCCGUUUCGAAGAGAGCGUUACCGAUGCUGUGGAGAAGUUCA
rnacentral:misc_RNA from 1 species